GCCGCACCGCUUCGGGAACAGCCGUGCUGCGUGUGGAGCGGCACGAGACCAAAGCGCAGUCAGGAGCGGACAGCAUAUUACUUCAAUGUAGGACAUCAGCAGUAUUCUCAAUACAUGAAAACCCAGACAGUACUUCCUAUCAGAUUGCUAAAGAUCUCCCAGUCUCUCUGGGACUUGUAUUGAGGAAUGCAUUUCUGAUUCCAUUGGACUUAGCAGGAGUCAUGACUAUGCUUGAAAAUUUCAUGCAGUCUAUCUGCAACUCACCUUCCCAGGUAUGAGGCACAAGCUUCCAGAGCCUGCUUAUCAUUCAGACACUGACUGAGGAAUUCUUUGAAGUUCUGAUUAGACUUUGCUACUUGCUCCUGAAUAUGGAUCACAGCUGGUUGAG